rnacentral:misc_RNA from 1 species
AACACUUAGAUUCAAAGAAACUUCGAAGUUACAGAAAAAAGAGCUAGUAAAACUAAGUAGAUACGUCAGAAAAAAGAAAAGAUAAAAAGAUGCAACAAAAUCAAAGAAAAACUCAUGAAUCUUAAGGAAGUAAGAAAGCAAGAGAAGAAAAGAAAAGAGUCGAAAAAUAAAAAGCUAGGAACUUAAAAGAAAAGACAAAAAUACAAGCUAUUUUUACAGCUUACCAAACCAAAACCACAACAAAGAACAAGUAAGGCUUGAUAUUGCAAAAUCUCACCAACUCAUCACUCAUAAACCUUAAACACCAAGCAUCUUCCAAGCCAACGCCAACCCUUGAAGACCAACACAAAUUAAAACCAUAAGUUUGAGUCAAUGCCAGCUAAAAACUCAAACCCAGUUCUCAAAGCAAAGCACACCAAACGAGUUUGGAGUUGAAUGACGACACCCUCUUUCUCUCUCAAAGUACCAUGCUUGAAAGCUAGAAAGCUAAAAGUAAUAACUCACACUAAUGAAGGGUGUUAAAUUUUCAAAACUCGGUUCUCACACACUCUGUAAAUCCAACUAAUCAAGAAGGCACAGAAUUGGGGAGGAUUGAAAGGAGACGUGAAGAGACGAAUAAAGGUCGUACAUCUCUGUUAGGAAUUAAGGCAAAAACUGAGAAGGGCACAGAGAGAGAGAGAGAGAGA